rnacentral:rRNA from 1 species
AUUGAACGCUGGCGGCAUGCCUUACACAUGCAAGUCGAACGGCAGCACGGGAGCAAUCCUGGUGGCGAGUGGCGAACGGGUGAGUAAUAUAUCGGAACGUGCCCAGUCGUGGGGGAUAACGUAGCGAAAGCUACGCUAAUACCGCAUACGAUCUAUGGAUGAAAGCGGGGGAUCGCAAGACCUCGCGCGAUUGGAGCGGCCGAUAUCAGAUUAGGUAGUUGGUGAGGUAAAGGCUCACCAAGCCGACGAUCUGUAGCUGGUCUGAGAGGACGACCAGCCACACUGGGACUGAGACACGGCCCAGACUCCUACGGGAGGCAGCAGUGGGGAAUUUUUGGACAAUGGGCGCAAGCCUGAUCCAGCAAUGCCGCGUGCAGGAUGAAGGCCUUCGGGUUGGUUAAC